GGACUACCCGGGUAUCUAAUCCUGUUUGCUCCCCACGCUUUCGCACAUCAGCGUCAGUACCGGGCCAGUGAGCCGCCUUCGCCACUGGUGUUCUUCCUAAUAUCUACGAAUUUCACCUCUACACUAGGAGUUCCACUCACCUCUCCCGGACUCAAGAUUGCCAGUAUCAAAGGCAGUUCCGAGGUUGAGCCUCGGCAUUUCACCCCUGACUUAACAAUCCGCCUACGCGCGCUUUACGCCCAGUGAUUCCGAACAACGCUAGCCCCCUUCGUAUUACCGCGGCUGCUGGCAC
rnacentral:rRNA from 1 species